rnacentral:rRNA from 1 species
AUUGAACGCUGGCGGCAGGCCUAACACAUGCAAGUCGAGCGGAGCGGCGGCCGGGUGAGUAAUUCCUAGGAAUCUGCCUGGUAGUGGGGGAUAACGUCCGGAAACGGGCGCUAAUACCGCAUACUAUCAUAUCAGCCUAGGUCGGAUUAGCUAUUUGGUGGGGUAAAGGGCUACCAAGGCGACGAUCCGUAACUGGUCUGAGAGGUUGAUCAGGCACAAUGGAACUGGGACACGGUCCAGACUCCUACGGGAGGCAGCAGUGGGGAAUAUUGGACGAUGGGCGAAAGACUGAUCCAGCCAUGCCGCGUGUGUGAAGAAGGUCUUCGGAGUGUAGAGAACUUUAAGUUGGGAGGCGUUACCAACAGAAUAAGCACCGGCUAACUUCGUGCCAGCAGCCGCGGUAAUUC